rnacentral:rRNA from 1 species
UACCAGCACCCCGAGUGGUCGGGACGUUUUAUUGGGCCUAAAGCAUCCGUAGCCGGUUCUACAAGUCUUCCGUUAAAUCCACCUGCUCAACAGAUGGGCUGCGGAGGAUACUAUGGAGCUAGGAGGCGGGAGAGGCAAGCGGUACUCGAUGGGUAGGGGUAAAAUCCGUUGAUCCAUUGAAGACCACCAGUGGCGAAGGCGGCUUGCCAGAACGCGCUCGACGGUGAGGGAUGAAAGCUGGGGGG